rnacentral:rRNA from 1 species
UACAGAGGUCUCAAGCGUUGUUCGGAUUCAUUGGGCGUAAAGGGUGCGUAGGCGGCGCGGUAAGUCGGGUGUGAAAUCUCGGAGCUUAACUCCGAAACUGCAUUCGAUACUGCCGUGCUUGAGGACUGGAGAGGAGACUGGAAUUUACGGUGUAGCGGUGAAAUGCGUAGAUAUCGUAAGGAAGACCAGUGGCGAAGGCGGCGAUCUGGCCCAACACUGACACUCAGACCCGAAAGUGCGGGGAUCAAACAGG